GCUGUGAUGGCCGAGUGGUUAAGGCGCUGGACUUGAACUAAUGGGGUUUCCCCGCGAGGGGUGAAACCCUGCUCAGAGUG
rnacentral:tRNA from 1 species